AUGAAAUUUGAAAACCCAUGUGACCCAGAAGACAUUUCAAGCAAUGAUGCUGAAAUGAAUAGUCAGGUUGAAAGUAUAAAUGAACUUUCACAAAUGCAGCCAGAAGAUUAACUAACAGAGGAACAGUAUGAGAGAAGAGAACAAAGAGUUGAAACGUGAACGGCAAUCAUUAGCAUUGUAUGGCAUCAUUCUAAUGAUCGGCAGAAAGUGCAUCGGAAAGUGCCCCUUGGGAUGGGUGGGGCAGGGAGAUAAGGGAAAAUGAAUCUUUGUUUUAAUUGCAUUUUGUUCUGUAAACCUGUUUUGUUUUGUUUUUUAAGAUUCCCUACUUUUACCAUGAUAUCCCACUCCCAACAAUCCCUAUUGCAUUGUCCUGGCAAUUACAGCAAUUUCUAAGUCCCCUGUAAUGUCGGAGAUGCUUAUCUUUUCUGUCACUAGCCUCUGAAUCUCAUUUCCCAUUGAGGGCACAUCCUCCAAACAGCUGAUGGAAGAGAGAUUUUUUUUUGUAUUCUCUAGGAUACAUUUGGGGAUUUGGCUUGAAGAUGUGGGCUGCCACAAAGUAUCAUAAACCACAGAACACUAUCUACCUGAGGAAUUUUAAGAACUAUUCCAAACUAUCACUAUAUUGAUAGAGAAGUUAUUGCACCGUGCCUAUCUCCAGCAACAUCAGUCAGGAAUUCCUGACUGGAAGUGCCAGUGCAAAAUAUUUAGAGCUUUUAGAACACUGGCCCCCUGUCACAGUGGCAAUAGUAAAAGAACUGGAAGGAGUAGUUAUUUUAGUGCAUGGUAAAAUCCAACUUAGGCUUUAACAUUAUAAGCUUGGAAAUCUGGAUGCUUCAGGAUGUCAUGCUGCUGUAUUACUCACUGAGAGAAUGGAGAUGUGUGUGUUGCCCAUUACUGAUUUUCUAAAUCUUGAGUAUGGUUAGCAUGUACUUUGCAUUCUAUCUGCUCAUAGCACAGCAUGUGAUGCAAAAUGAUACCACAUGCCCAGUUAGUGCAUAGCUUCUGUUCUCUUCUAGCGAAUCAACAAUUAUUUUAAGUGGGGACUUAAAGUACCUGUGGGCAACUAAUAUUUUGCACAGCCUGUGAGUAAUGGAAGAGAGCAGGCAUUCCGCAGCCAACACAUUUAAAUAUAGUUUAUGGCUUUAAGAACUUCACUGUACUUUGUGUCAGCUCUCAUUAUAUUUUCUACUGCAUAUGCAUGAUUUUAAAAAAUGCAGUUAACAGUUAUUUGGCUAAGAACAUUUCACCAUAUGUCAUUUGUUCCGCUAGCAAGUGCUGGAUUCAGAAAAGAGGGCUUAGGUACUUUUUUCAGCGGUACUAUAAAUUAAAUUGAUACAUGAGACCGAAGGAACACACAGCAUGUGUCCAGAGUUUGAUGCUCUGCAAAAUAGAGCUUUUUAAAAAAAUGUACAGGGAUUCUAGUCUUGCUUGAAUAUGUACAUUCUUCCUCCCAAUCCUGAAAUUAGCACUGACUGGCUUAAAAAAAGAAGAGUGAAAGGAGACUGUAUUUGGCACAAAUCCAUUGAUUGGAAUAGGGCCCUUACAUUUCACACUGCUGUAACUGUGCUCCCUGUACAUAUAUUAACAGUUUGAUGGCUGCUGGCAUUUGCAGGUUGAUGAGAAAUAUUGAUGGGAUGAACACCCCCGCUUCCCUCCCACCUCCCCCAGAUUUGUCUGUGGGAGUGUGGCCACUAGCAGUGCCUGACAUCUUCUAAUAAGCUGCUUUUGUGUACUCCAGCAUUGAAAAGCUUGGGGCGGCAGGAGGGGGAACUGUCUGCACUUACUUCCCAAAGCAAUGAUAGAGAACAUGGGGUGGGGCUUCAAAGACUUAUGGGUUUCCGUUUGGAGCCUAGUAGAUAUUUCACUUGGCGCAUGAUCAGUUUUGAAAGAAACUAGGUUUCCAAUUAAAUCAGUCCUUCUAUUUCCCAUUAAAACGGCACCAGGAUUGUAUGAUACUUGCUGUGUUGGUCCAGAAUACAUUUUGGACAUCCCUUCCUCUAUCCCUAGAUGCCUCUAUGCCUCUGUCCUUUUCUAUUUCUGUUAGCUUGACAGAAGGUAUCUGCAGGGCCCCACAUGGAUUCCAUCCCUAAUUGUUAUUUUCCUGCUGUCCCUACAUUUUUUUCCGGCUGAUUCCAAUUGCUGCAGUCAAAGGACCAGCAGAUUGUGGAUCUGCAUGAUGUACGUACAGUGUGUUUCAUUAUCAAAUGAUUUCUCUUUAAAUAGCCUGUCAAGAUCAACAUAGUAAAUAACAAUAAUGUUAAUCUUGGGACUGUGUGUCCUGUUUAAAAAGGCAAGGAUUCAAGGACACUCUUUGUCUGGCCGUGCUAGGGAAACUUCCCCAUAAAGCAUUUGGAAGUUCAGUUGGUGUAAGCUUUCUGAUGCCUCGUGGAAAAUGGUGGGGGGCCCGAUCCUCCGCUAAUAUUUAAAUUGUCACAGCUCCACGGAGUGCAGCUGAGGUAGGGCCGCGCUCCAUAGGAUCUGGUAUUAUGUAUUUAAUUGAAGAGUUGUACAUCUGUGAUUGUCCCAGUCUUCUAAGUACAACACUAGAGAACUGCAGACUGCUGUUAGCUGCGUAUCCCGAGCCCCUCUCACAUUCGCGAGAUUCAGGCUCAGACAAGAUCAGCUCCAGAGACGGAUUAAAGAGGUGUGUUCAAAAUAUACAGCGAGACAAGAUGGUCCUUAAAUUCCUUAGCAAUAGUGACAGAUAUUAAAAAUAAUUAACUGCAAAAAUACUUCAGGUUAGAGCAGUUCUCCUUCUCACCUGUGACAGUAAUUUCAUUGCCACCCUCAUUUAACCUUGGUUCUCUUUAACAGCAGUGAAUCUUUGGAACUGUGGAACUUUCGCCUGAGGUCUCUGCAGCAAGUGUGAAGCACAGGCAGGAAGCGUAGAGCAAGAAAAUGUAUGAAUUGAUUAAAUCUUAACAGGCCAAUUUUCAGUCAUGACUGUGUGGCUCAGUUUUCUGGCUUUUUUGUUCAUGUGACUUUGGGGUUGCAUUUGUUUAGAAUUUUUUUUUUAAAUAAGACAAUAAAUAAAAUGAUGUACGGAAAUUUAGACAAUAUGAUUCUGAGCUCUUCUUUUAUGGCUGGACCCUGAAUGCAACCACUUUUGAUUUUUUUUUUUUUUUAGAGCUAGAGAAGCAGAAAGUAGUCUCUGUAGAAAAAUAUAUAUCAGAAAUGGAUUAAUGCCCCUGUAAUGGGUUUAGGUUAAUAACUAAAAUUUUAUCACAGUAUGUUCUGUGUAGAAAAUAGAAGCCCUAAAUUAGCGGUGUUUGCAUACAAAGUAUUAGAAUGUGCUUUCGAUGUUCCAAUUAAAAAACUCCCCUGCUCAUUCUAGAAUUAGGAGCAACAAUCUAUUGUUCCUCCAGCUAGUGAUUGCUCUGAUGCUGGACAAGUUUCCUUUCAUACAGGCUUACAGAGGAGAUGUCUGAGACACUGUCUGUAAUAUUGGGUCACAUAUUAUUCACUACAGCUAAUUGUAAAUCUUUCUAUGAUGCACUGAAAAGCCUCUUUGUGAAUUAACACUGUUCUGCUUUAUGCAUUUGAUUAAAAAAGAUAUUUCUCUAUAUGCAGUGCAUGUCUGCUUUGCUUUUAAAAUUACAAAGUUAGCAGAAUAUGUUGGAUCUAUUUUCUUGGGAAACAGGGGUUUUUAUCAUAUGAUUCAUCAAGGAUUUGCCUUACCCUAACAUUUGUGAUAUAAAGGAAAGUCAGAAAAAUGUAAUUUUCUUGAUCAAAAAUAUGUUUUUACUUAAAUGCAAAUAAAAGUAGUCUGUUGCUUGCAAAAUAUCUGAUAUAAUGGCUAACUAGUUAACACAUGCCUCUUUUGUUAAUUUGACAUUUAAAUGCUGAAUUUGCUUAUGAAUUUGUUAUUUUUUCUUUUGUCUGUGCCAUACAUCUGAAAACUUAAACUAAUGAUGCCUUCAUACUACAAUGUUUGUUAAAGCAAAAUGUUAAUAAAACUUGUUCUGAAGACAA